AGUGGGAUUGCUGAGUUAUAUGAUAACUCUGACCUUUUGAGGAGCUAUUAGAGUGUAUUUCAAAGUGGUAGUACUAUAUACAUUCCCACCAGCAGU
rnacentral:pre_miRNA from 1 species